AGACUCGGGCAGCGCCGCCCGCCCCGCCCGCUCCACGCGGGGUGCCGAGCCCCGGGCCCCCCCCCCACGCCGAAGGAGUCCGGGGCUCGGGAGCCGGCGCCCAGGACCCCGCGCCUCCGCGAACUGCGGUCCAGGCCCCGCCCCGGGGGCCGGGCUUCCUCGGGCCCCGCCCUGGCGAUGGGGAGGGUCCCGGCGGAGGCGGCGGGGGAGGGUUUGGUUUCAAGGAACAAAAAAUUUCCCAGAAAAGUUCAAGACCUGGACUUGGAGCAAAUGCCCAGCUCAGCCACCAGAUACCCAGGUGACGUGGAAAGCUUCCUAGCCUUCCUGUAUCUCCAGGUAUGCUCAGCUAAGCUGGGGACAAUAGUACAAACUGUUUCAUUUCCUCGAUCAUUCUGGCCAGAUGGCAGGCCUGGUUGAGAUGCAAGGUAUGUGCCUUCAGAGGCUCACAGGUCAGUUCUCAGCCUCCUGGGCCAUUGUGUGGGCUAGAUGAG